AGAGGUCUAGCCUGCCCAGUGACUAAAAUUCAACGGCCGCGGUAUCCUGACCGCGCGAAGGUAGCGUAAUCACUUGUUUUUUAAAUAAAGACUAGUAUGAAUGGCAUCACGAGGAUCAAACUGUCUCCUUUACAUAAUCAGUGAAACUAAUCCCCCCGUGAAAAAGCAGGGAUUAAGCUACAAGACGAAAAGACCCUAUGGAGCUUCAAAUACAUAACUAUGCCUUUCCCCCCGCACUAGUUAUAAAUUUUAGGUUGGGGUGACCGCGGAGAAAAACACAUCCUCCAUAACGAAUAAGUUUACUUUAAACAAAAAGUCACAACUUCAUGUAUCAACAAAUUGACAUGCUGAUCCAAUAAUUUGAUCAACGAACCAAGUUACCCUAGGGAUAACAGCGCAAUCCACUUUAAGAGUUCAUAUCGACAAGUGGGCUUACGACCUCGAUGUUGGAUCAGGGUAUCCCAGUGGUGCAGCCGCUACUAAAG
rnacentral:rRNA from 1 species